UCUCUAGUUUCCCGGAAAUGCUGUUUCUUUUUUGAUUUCUUCUUUGACCCAUUCAUCAUUCAAUGAUGUAUUGUUUAAUCUCCCUGAAUUUGUGUAUUUACUGGAGGUUUGUCUGCUGUCAGUUUUAAGGUUUGGUGCAUCGUGAUCAGAUGGGAUGCUUAGGGUCGUUUUAAUCUUCCUGAAAUUCUAGAUUUGUUUUGUAUCCCAGGAUGUGGUCUGUUUUGGAGACCUGUCCUUGUGCUGCUGAGUAGAAUGUAUGCCCUUUGGUGUUUGUGUGGAUUAUUCUGUAGGUUUCGCUUAAAUCCAUUUGAUGGAUGAUACCAUCAGAUUCUCGUGAUUCUCUGUCUACUGUCUGUGCAGAUAACCUGUCUAUUGGAGAAAGUGGGGCAUUGAACUCACAGAGAAUUAACAGAAUAGUAGACUGGGAUCUCUCCAUAAAGAAGAGGGGCAGAAGGAGGGCUGAAAAACUGACGUGAAACAUGUGCUCCUGUGGUAAGUAGCUAGUCAGUAGAUUUGUAGGUAUGGGUCCAGUGCACCUCUCUGGUAAGGUUGCAGGGAUGGGUGGAUUUGGCAGUGUGAGUCUGAUGUCUCUGGCAAGAGAAGGGACCACAUGUGCUUGGGAGUGUGGGUCCAGUGGGUGGGGGUAGAUGAAGUUGGCCCCAUAACUACAAGCUUUGACUGUGUACAGGGUAUGGAGGAGCUCAGCUGGGGCAAGGGCAAGGGCGAGGGUGGAGUUAACAGCAAAAUUGAGCUCUGCUCUUAAAGGGGAACAGGAGCACAUGCAUGCACGGGACACAUCUGCCGAGGUCUUUAAUGAACUAUGAUAGAAAAUGAUCUGUUUCCUAUGCAGCUGAUUGUGUCACAUUAAAAAAAGAUCUAGUUCCUUUUAUUUUAUGUACAUGAAUUUGCUGCAUGUGUAGAUGUGUGCCAUGUGCGUGCAGAGCCAGUAGAGGUGAGAAGAGGAAACGACAACUUUAGAAGCAGAGUUAAACACCAGUUCUACGCAUUGUACCAGAACCUGGCCCAUGUGAAGUAAGUGAGUCACAAAUACAGGAUUCUGACACCGUGGAGGGAGGUAUGUUUUAAUAGAUUUUGUUGUGGCAUAUAUACAUGUACACAAUAUGUUGUAACCAUGACUAUGUCCCAUCACUAUGUUGUAUCCCCCCUCCCAAUCCUCCAGAGCUCAGUGACUUUCUCAACUAGUCUUCUUUCUAUUUUCACAGGGUUGGGUAUGUUUCUUUAUUUGUUUCUUUGUUUUUCUGUUUCUGUCAACCCAUAACUUUAAUUAAGGUUACCUAGAGGAGCAUGCGUGGAGCAGUUAUUUAGCAGAUCCCUACCU